GGGGAAUUUUCCGCAAUGGGCGAAAGCCUGACGGAGCAAUACCGCGUGAGGGAGGACGGCUUUUGGGUUGUAAACCUCUUUUAUCAGGGAAGAAUCGAUGACGGUACCUGAUGAAUCAGCAUCGGCUAACUCCGUGCCAGCAGCCGCGGUAAUACGGAGGAUGCAAGCGUUAUCCGGAAUUAUUGGGCGUAAAGCGUCCGUAGGUGGUUUAUCAAGUCUGCUGUCAAAGCGUGCGGCUUAACCGCAUAAGGGCAGUGGAAACUGAUGAACUANAGUGCGAUAGGGGUAACAGGAAUUCCCAGUGUAGCGGUGAAAUGCGUAGAUAUUGGGAAGAACACCAGCGGCGAAAGCGUGUUACUGGGUCUGCACUGACACUGAGGGACGAAAGCUAUGGGAGCGAAAGGGAUUAGAUACCCUGUAGUCCUAGCCGUAAACGAUGACAACUAGGCGUGGUUCGUAUCGACCCGAGCCGUGCCGUAGCCAACGCGUUAAGUUGUCCGCCUGGGGAGUACGCACGCAAGUGUGAAACUCAAAGGAAUUGACGGGGGCCCGCACAAGCGGUGGAGUAUGUGGUUUAAUUCGAUGCAACGCGAAGAACCUUACCAAGGCUUGACAUCCUCGGAACCCUGAUGAAAGUUAGGGGUGCCUUCGGGAGCCGAGAGACAGGUGGUGCAUGGCUGUCGUCAGCUCGUGUCGUGAGAUGUUGGGUUAAGUCCCGCAACGAGCGCAACCCACGUUUUUAGUUGCCAGCAUUCAGUUGGGCACUCUAGAGAGACUGCCGGUGACAAACCGGAGGAAGGUGUGGAUGACGUCAAGUCAGCAUGCCCCAUACGCCUUGGGCUACACACGUACUACAAUGCGUCGGACAAAGAGCAGCCAGGCAGCGAUGGUGAGCCAAUCCCAUAAACCGGCGCUCAGUUCAGAUUGCAGGCUGCAACUCGCCUGCAUGAAGGCGGAAUCGCUAGUAAUCGCAGGUCAGCAUACUGCGGUGAAUACGUUCCCGGGCCUUGUACACACCGCCCGUCACACCAUGGGAGUUGGUCACGCCCGAAGUCGUUACUCUAACUGCUUGCAGAGGAGGACGCCGAAGGUGGGGCUGAUGACUGGGGUGAAGUCGUAACAAGGUAGCCGUACCGGAAGGUGUGGCUGGAUCACCUCCUUAAAAGGAGACCUACCCUCUCACUUAGCUAAAGCUAGGAUGAGAAAGGUCAACUAGGUCGUUCGAAGCUUUCCAUAAAUUUCGAUGUGCUUCUAAACUAUCCCGGUUCAGGGAUGGGGGCUAUUAGCUCAGGUGGUUAGAGCGCACCCCUGAUAAGGGUGAGGUCCCUGGUUCGAGUCCAGGAUGGCCCACUCCAUUAAGACAAGGGGGUUUAGCUCAGUUGGUAGAGCGCCUGCUUUGCAAGCAGGAUGUCAGCGGUUCGAGUCCGCUAACCUCCACCAACCGAUUGAUUGAAUCACUCUGUUGAAUUUUUUGUUGAAUUGAGCGAUUGAGGAUAUGCGACAGCAACUCAUCUGCGAGAUGUAGAGAGCCUGCUGGAUUAUGUCCAGUACAAGAACCAAGAAAACUGCAUAGUAAUGGUGUCAGGUAGAGAUACACAGACACCAAUGUAAAGGACUAAAACUGAUUGAAAUAAUUAGUGGUCAAGCUACAAAGGGCAGAUGGUGGAUACCUAGGCACACAGAG
rnacentral:sRNA from 1 species